rnacentral:SRP_RNA from 1 species
GCCAGGUGUGGUCACGCGUGCCUGUAGUCCCAGCUACUCAGGAGGCCGAGGCAGGAGAAUCGCUUGAACCCAGGAGGCAGAGGCUGCAGUGAGUCGUGAUGGGGCCACUGCACUCCAUCCUGGGCAACAGAGUGAUACUCUGUCUCAA